UACGUAGGGGGCUAGCGUUGUCCGGAUUUAUUGGGCGUAAAGAGCGUGUAGGCGGCCAGGUAGGUCUGCUGUGAAAACUCGAGGCUCAACCUCGAGACGUCGGCGGAAACCAUCUGGCUAGAGUCCGGAAGAGGAGAGUGGAAUUCCUGGUGUAGCGGUGAAAUGCGCAGAUAUCAGGAAGAACACCCGUGGCGAAGGCGGCUCACUGGCCCGAUACUGACGCUGAGGUGCGAAAGCGUGGGGAGCAAACAGG
rnacentral:rRNA from 1 species